rnacentral:rRNA from 1 species
CACUAGUGAUUUCCGUAGGUGAACUUGCGGAGGGAUCAUUACACAAAUAUGAAGGCGGGCUGGAACCUCUCGGGGUUACAGCCUUGCUGAAUUAUUCACCCUUGUCUUUUGCGUACUUCUUGUUUCCUUGGUGGGUUCGCCCACCACUAGGACAAACAUAAACCUUUUGUAAUUGCAAUCAGCGUCAGUAACAAAUUAAUAAUUACAACUUUCAACAACGGAUCUCUUGGUUCUGGCAUCGAUGAAGAACGCAGCGAAAUGCGAUAAGUAGUGUGAAUUGCAGAAUUCAGUGAAUCAUCGAAUCUUUGAACGCACAUUGCGCCCUUUGGUAUUCCAAAGGGCAUGCCUGUUCGAGCGUCAUUUGUACCCUCAAGCUUUGCUUGGUGUUGGGCGUCUUGUCUCUAGCUUUGCUGGAGACUCGCCUUAAAGUAAUUGGCAGCCGGCCUACUGGUUUCGGAGCGCAGCACAAGUCGCACUCUCUAUCAGCAAAGGUCUAGCAUCCAUUAAGCCUUUUUUUCAACUUUUGACCUCGGAUCAGGUAGGGAUACCCGCUGAACUUAAGCAUAUCAAUAAGCGGAGGAA